rnacentral:rRNA from 1 species
GAUGAACGCUAGCGGCAGGCCUAAUACAUGCAAGUCGAACGGCGUCUUCGGACAUAGUGGCGCACGGGUGCGUAACACGUAUGCAACCUACCUUACAUUGGGGGAUAGCCUUUCGAAAGGGAGAUUAAUACCGCAUAAGACAGUAGCUGGGCAUCCAGCAGCUGUUAAAGAUUUAUCGAUGUAAGCUGGGCAUGCGUCCAAUUAGCUAGUUGGUGAGGUAACGGCUCACCAAGGCAAUGAUUGGUAGGGGAACUGAGAGGUCAAUCCCCCACACUGGCACUGAGAUACGGGGCAGACUCCUACGGGAGGCAGCAGUAGGGAAUAUUGGGCAAUGGACGCAAGUCUGACCCAGCCAUGCCGCGUGCAGGAUGAAGGCGUUAUGCGUUGUAAACUGCUUUUAUACAGGAAGAAACGACUCUUGCGAGAGGCAUUGACGGUACUGUAUGAAUAAGCACCGGCUAACUCCGUGCCAGCAGCCGCCGUAACAC